GCGUGGACGGAAGAGCGUGAAAGACCUGUGGCAGCAGCAGCAGCAGCUGGAGAGCGAGGCACUCACGCACUCAUUAAUUCACCCAUUCAUUCAGCCCCGCGGUGCAGUUAAAGGGCGUCGCUGUUCACUUUAACACCUCCCAGCUUUCAGCGUUUCUUUGUCCCGGCUUUUCUUGCGUGUGUAGUGGGUUGUUUUUUUGUGUCCCUGUGGACUGAACUCACGUCAGUGCGCAGCUGCUGUUGACGCUCCUACAUCUGCUGCUCGGCUCGGCUCGGCUCGGCUCAGCUCAGCUCGGCUCUUCUGUGCACGGCGGCCAUAGACGAGGACGACGCUCCUGCGUUUUACUGCGGGUGAAUGAAGUGACUGCACACUCACACACGGCGGUGAUGAUCCGGUCAGGAAGCUCGAUGGAGAACGAGAAGAAACCGAAAAGGAGAAGAAGGAGAUUUUGGCUGUGUUUCUGAACCUUUGGCUGCUGAUGUACAGAGCUGAUGACAUGUCACCAGUCAGGACACUGGGAGGAUCCACACUGGGAGCCACCAUCAUGACAGGUUAUGUGUACUGACUGAAUUACCUUUUAUUAACACAAACACGGAAGUCUCUUGUCACGGACAAGUGAUAUCAGUUAGGCAAAUCUAGUCUCAGCGUUCCAUCACUUGUGUAACUGAGAUCAGAGAAGCAGAAAAAAGUGAUUCAGAUCUUGAAGCAUUUGGGUUUCGUUCCAUUUUCGUUUGUCUCUGAAGAGAAAAGCAGCAAGGAGAAUCAAUGACGCAAAAGAACAGGCAUCGCCCGCAGGUGUUUGGGAGGACAGUUGGGUUGCGUUCCACUUUUCUGCUGCUUUGUGUUCUGUGUGUUCCUCUCCAGUUACACCGAUGGAAACGCAAUAGAGUGGGACUCACACCGGAGACUGCUGCAUUGUUCACCUGACGGACUCGCACCGAGGACCCCUGCUGCUGCCAACACGGCCUGUGAUGGAAGCACGAUGCCACCACAGCGUUCCGAGAAGAAUAUCCACGUGGAAGUGUUCACCAGCUGGGAGACGAUUUGUGCCGCCUUUGUGUGUCAGUGGAGAAGGAUUUAAAAAAAAAGAAGAAGAAGAAGAAAAAAAAUCCCCUUUCUAUUCACUGUGAGCACGGUCACGUUGAGCAGGAAGGUUAUUUCAUGCGUUUUCAAAAAUGAUUCACUGCAGUGUUGUUUUUCUCCCCCUCCCAGCCCCAAAAUGUGUGUGAAACCAUUAGAGCUUCAUCCACUCCCACUCUCCCUCUCUCUCUCCCCCCCCACCUCUCUCUCUCUCUCACUCUCUCAAAACACUGCAGCCAUCCAACACAUCACACUUGCCUCCUUCUGCUGCUGUGUGCAGUGACCUGCGCUGUUGCCAUGGUUACAAACACUUAAGUCACUACUACCAGGAGUGGUGUUUCAACUGUGGUUAAAGGGAUAGUCCAGUUUUUUUUGGUUUGUUUGUUUUUUUUAAAGCAUAACUUAACCCCCAAACAAAUUAUUUAUAGGUGUAAACCAGUGUAUUUAAGUACCUGGAUGAUGUAACGUAUUGAAAUUAUACAUGUCACAGACUCCUCCCCCUUUUAUAUAAAAGCUGAAGCUGUUGCUCCCUGCACUGAUCCCCACUCUCCCUCACUCGGGUCUCAUCCCAGCUUCUAGGUAUUUUUCAAAAUCAGGCACUGGGGCGGAGUUAGCCUCAGGAGAUGGGGGUUUAGUUAUGGUUAUAUGAGGUAUUACCAGACCCUCUUUCUGAUUAACAAAAUAGGUUCACCUAAUAAAAAUCUACACUUGCUUUAGUCUGCGAGUAGUGGUUUACAAGCAAACAUCAUUCUUAAAAUACCACAGAUCAAAGCAGAUAUAGAUUUUACUCUGUGGCUAAAAUCUCUUGUCUAUGUUUUCACUGCAAAGUCAGUGUGGACAACACCUUAUAUAGCCACAAAAAAACCCUGAACUAUCCCUUUAACUUGUUAAUCAGCCAACAUGUAGAUCAGAACUGCUUGAAUAUUUAAAGUGUGAGAUAAUGUAUUUUCUAUCUAAUUUGACGUGAUUCUAUUUAUUACAAACACUUUUUACUGUCACGUGUGGGUGUGUGUUUGUGUGUCUGUGUGAGUGUGUGUGUUCUACAUAUAUGUGUGUGUGUAUGUGUCGUCAUUCCCAUAAAGGUGCAUGUGUUUUGUCUACCUCACAAAAAUGUAUUUGUGUUGCGUCAGAAGCUGCUUUACAGUGAUUUCCCUCACAGUUUAACAGGGGGAAAAAAAUAACCUUUCCAAAUGCCCAAAGUUCAAUGUUUAAGAGCCAGAAAUGGGACAAAAAAUAUUUACAAAUGAUUAUUAGCAUUUUCUUUACAGCCUCAUGUGAAUAUAAUUACAAGAACGAUGCUGGGAAUUAAUGGUGUGUACUUUUCUAAAUGAUGCCUGCUGGCAUUAAUUAACAGUUUGCAUUGUCGUAUGAUACUUAAGCGAAUGACAUCAAAUGCUAAUAAUUAUUUGCAAAUAGCUUUUUUUUUUAAACUAUUUUUGUACUAACACAAUCUAAUAUCUAACAUUACUAAUGUCUGCUAACAGUCGGGUGAUUACUAACCUUUACUCUUGAGUGCUGAUGGCUGGUUCUGUCUAUUAACCCACUGACUAACCCUCUGCUUUGUGCUCACACUCCUCUCUCAUCAUCCUGCAAUCCUUCUGCUACAAACAGUGGAUCAAUCAAGAAAGAAAGAAAGAGAGAAAAUUUAAAAAAGUAAGAAUGUCAAGAAGGAUUUCAGGACAUGGGAAGGGAAAUGUUUUUAUUGUUAACUGAAGAGAUGAAAAGAAGCAGAAACAGCUGCUGACGUUAAAGGGGGUUCGACCACAGCACUUAAAGCUGCAGUACGUAACUCGUGGUGGUUUAUUUUAUAAUUAUUAUUUAGCCUAAAGAUCUGACAUUUUUAAGAUUUGGUCGGUGUCAGAUAGAGGCUUCUUAAAACAAGAAGGCUCCAAUUGGACGAUACUAGCUGUCAAUCACACUGGUGUCUAUUUAUUGUCUAUUUUCCUGUAAAUUGGCAUCCUGUUCUAUUGAGGAAGACUAGCAAAACUAGCAAUAGACACCAUUAACUCCUGAGGAGAAAAUGCUCAGUGACUUAAUAAGUAACUUAAUUAGUUCAAUAACUUAAUCCAGUGGGAAGUAGAUGCUAAUAUUUGCCAUUGACUUCCAUUCAAACUUGCCCUCUAGUGGCUAUUGAGUAUAUUUGUUAAUCCUGGGUCGGCCUCCUCUGGCAAACCAGAAGGCUACAGUUUUUUUUCUUAUCGUGACAAUACUCAAAUUGUCUCUGUCAAGCAAAAUGAUCAGACCUGACUGAGGGAGUGUUUAUCUAUAUACAACGGCAGAGCAGGGGGGCCGGGCCAAGAGACGUUUUUUAUUUUUAUUUUUAUUUUGGAGGGGUAGACUUUAUUUCUAAAAAUGUUUUGAGGGCGCUUUUUUGUAUUGUCUUUCUUUACUCUCUUUACAGUUUCUGCCUGUCUCAAUCGCUUCCCUUGUGUCACCGGGCGACACAAAAGUAACUAAGAUUACUUAUCAAUGGUUUGACUAUUUAAGACAUUUAAUUUACACAGAAUUCAUUGGAAGCGUUACGCACUACAGCUUUAAAAGACCCCACACAACGCUGAGUCCGAUGUGAUUCCAAACUGUCUGAACUGAGACACUCAGAGACCAGCGUUGUGUGUGAACUCUGUGGUUAGCAUGUGCAGACAGACAGGUGAGUGUCUAUAGCUUGGUGUCACUACACAGUGAGACACGAGCCAAGCUAACGUCUCCCUAAAGGCCCAUUUAUACUCGGCACAAAAGACGGCGACGGACGGAGCCUUGUGUCCAUACUUUGCGUUCAUUUUGUCCAAGCAAUACCACAGGAAAUCAUGGGGGCAGUAUAGAGUCAUUAGUCCAAUCAGUCAGGAAAACUGAGUGACAGUCAGGUGCUAGCUUCUCUCACUAGCGCGUAGUGGUUUGAUUCGAGGGGCUAUCCAGCUAAGCUAGUUAUCAAAAAGUCAUGGCGACAUAUGGACACAUUUGAGACUUACAUUCAGUGGUUUUACGUUACACAGCCACGAAACCCGCUUGCGUAUCAGUCUAUUUUAGGUCAAGCUAUAUUUGUUGAUGCCUGCAACUACAACAGUGGAUGUAAAACGGAAUUAAAUUGGAGUAUAAAUGGGCCUUAAUGCCACAACUAACUACUGCUGGUGUUGGUUAUAACGCUGCGUUCCAUUUACAUCAGAAGUCGGGAAGUGGGGAACUGUCAGUUAGCAUUGUUAGCAAUACCAGUCACUAACAAUGCUGUACAUGUUUUUUUUUGUGCACACAAAUAUGCUUAUUGUUAGAAAAUACAGUAGAAAUUACAGUGUUAUGUUAAUUACAGAAACAGUGUUAUGUGUACGACUGAUUUACCAUAAAACAAAUGCGACAGAAGUGCUAUUAACUAUAAAAGUAGCACUGUUUAUCUUGGAAUCCUGAACUUUAACGUAAAAAAUUCCGAGUUCUGACUUCAAAUGAAACGCAGCGUAACAUCGCUAAUGCUGUAAAACUCCACCCGUUGCUUGUACUAACAUCUCUUCUCUCUAUGACUGAAACAUCACUUCUGCAGCACCGAUGUCUUUUUUCUUAAUCUUUAAUUAAACCUAACCUUUUCAGUAGCUUUCAUGUUCAGGAAAUCACACUGCAUGGGAUUUUUUUUUUAAUCCAAAAUGUAACCAAGACCAACAGAAAUCCUAAUCAUUUAAUUUCCCUCAGCAGUUUUGUUCUCUUGAUAAUCUACUAACAUCUCUUUAAAGGUAAAACUAACUAACAGUUACUAACCUGGGGAGCCUCCUUUAACUCCCUGAAAACUAACAAACUAACCUACUAAUAAACUAAUUAAUAACAAAAACAAAACACAACUAAACCACUAAUUGGCAGAUUUAGCUGAAGCUGCCGGUGUAUUUUUUCAUUGACUGUACUAACAAAGUUAAGAUUUACAUAUUCAUGACGUGGUUGAAUGUGAAUGUGUGUGAACGUGUAAGUGACAUGUGAACAUUGCAUUCUUUUAGAAUCAUUUUGGUCAAAAUGCUGAAUUUAGAUGAAUUUUCCCAACUUUUUAGUCACGAUUUAUGGGUAAAUGUUUUAAAUCACUUGCAUAAAAUGACAUAAUACACAGAUAUGGCUGUAAUUUAUUCGCUACGUUAUUCUCAAAUUUGCUCUUGUCACAACUGAUUUUGUGAAUUGGGUCACGAUAGUUUGUCGUCUUAAACUCUUCCCUGUGUAGAGAGUUUAGGAAACACUAAAUGUAAUUUACCAGCUGUUUUUAUUGAAUAGUUUUGUAAUAACCUGAAAUAAAUCAUGUUUUUAAAAAAAAAACUGUUGUUUAUAUAAAGUGUCUUUUUGAUCUCCUGGA